UGGCAUCUAGUUUAGAAAACUAUGACGAGUGACAUCUAGUUAUAGAAAACUAUGACGGAUGGCAUAUGAUUGUUGAUGACCUUGAUAUGAGAACAUUAGUGUAGUUGAGACACUAUGAGAUUGGGUACAAGAAUACCUUGAUUCCAUGAUGAGAUUACCCUUAGAGGGUAGGUUGCUGAUGUUCGUGAGUUGAUCGUGCUCACAUUGCCUGUCUGCGCUUGGAGGGGUCGCUCCCCACAAGCUGUGCACUCCGGAGGUUGGUCACUAGAGGGACAGUCAGUGUGCUGUCUGGACGGUCUGUGUGCUGUCCGCAGGCGGUCUCGGGGAAUAGUUCAGUGAGACUUUUCCCUAUGAGACUUACACGUGAGAUAUGUUCGUGAACCCGAGUUCACCAUGAGAUUUGGUUACCUAUUGAGUCACACUCAUUAUUGUUGCUCAUGAUAGCUUGAUUACAUAGCUUACUUGUUGUUCAUGAUAGCUUGCUUACAUAGCUUACUUACCCAGCUUUAUUUGUUGCU
rnacentral:lncRNA from 1 species